UGACACUGUGCAGUGCACUACAACGCAUUUCUGUCAUUUCACAGGCAGAUAAUUCCCAACAGUCUCUGCAGCUGCUCAAGAGGUCAGGAGGUGGUCACAUGACCAAUGUCAGGUGUGACAGUUGGUGAAGGUUAGGCGGACAUCUUAGGGAGAGCACGGUGGCUGGACUGGCGUGAGGAGGUGCUGCGCAGGUUAGCUGUAAAGGCCACUGUCCCCGUGACCGGAGUUAGAGAAAUGGCAACCAGAGAGCAGUGAGAGCCUCCCGCAGCAUAUCUACAGCUUCCAGUGAUCGCAGCUGACAUGGGAGUGUGGUGAUGUAGCUCCCAUCCUCUAUAGGUGCAGACUGGAGGCAGUUCCCAGCCUGAGAAAGGGGACGGUGCGUCAGUGAACACAGUGAACAGGAGCUGACAGAACUCCAACACCAAGCCCUCUGACUACACGGAAUAAGCUGCCUUUCUUCUUGUGUGAUUUCUCCGCUAUUACUUUUAGCAUACCCAGAUUCAGUGAUUAAUCUCAGGAGAUUGACUAUCUAGAGAAAGUGCACUAUAUAUACUUAUAUGAACAUUACAGAGGUUACAAAGGGGCCCCAAUUAAAAGUGCAAGAACCAAAAAUCCUUAUUCCAUCACUUGGUCGCCAGAAAAUACAAGGAGAAAAUAGGACUGGGCUGCAGUGAGAAAAUGGUGGUGAAAAGGACUUCAAAGAGUUAGUAGAAGCCCUCAAUCUUGGACAGAGAGCAGGAGAGUGGAGGAUUGUGAGCAGGGGAGAAAAUAGGACUGGGCUGCAGUGAGAAAAUGGUGGUGAAAAGGACUUCAAAGAGUUAGUAGAAGCCCUCAAUCUUGGACAGAGAGCAGGAGAGUGGAGGAUUGUGAGCAGGGUGAGCAAGAGAGCCGAGUGGACAGGAAAAAAGGGGUUAAAAAAUGGACAAAAAGGAGGAGUUGAAGAAGAUUGGGACUGGUGUGGAGAGCAGAUCUGCAUACAGUGACUCCUGGGCAGUGGUUGCUAAAUACUACAGAAUUGACCCUUUGAGAUUACCUCCUCUUGUGCUGGGCCCAAUAGAGUGGAUAGCCCUAUGUGCAGUACUUGGUCUGGGAGAUCACAGUACUCUGUAAAGCUGGCCCCAGACAUAGUGAGGAGGGGCCGAGGAGGAUGCAACAGUCAGCCCCAUAGGUGGUGCUAGGUGCGGGAGGGGCAAGCCAGGACAUUUACGACUAUUCAGUAACAGUUGCAGUUUUGAUAAUUUAGCAAAACUGCAACUGCUGACGAUCGCAUGCUGGGGGCCACCCAGCACAGGGCAAGGCCACCCAUCAUGCUAAUGGGCACCAGAGAUGUGGUCACAAUUCAACUGCGAUCACAUUGCUGAAUAAGGGAAACCCCCUUGCGAAGGCAGUCGGGCUGCCCCCAUUUUCCCUGUUGCAGCAGAUGAGUGUGAUGUUACGUCUUCAUCCUCGAAAAUGGCCUGGACCCACCCCCCGUUUCUGAUGCCACGCACCUGUGAUGCUGCGUCACUGCCCCGCAAAUGCCUCUGGCUGUCAAUCAGGCAGAGGCAUUUGCAUCAAUGCGAUUUCAUUGCCCUGACCGUGCACAUGCGGAGCAGGCCCUGCGCGUGCGCACUGAGCAGGAAAUCGGCAGUAUGUGAUAACAUCUCUGAUGUGAUUCAUACUGAAUAAGGCCCUUAAUCCCCAGACUGCAGCACUGAAUGAAAGUCUGCAGCCUGUACAGAGGAUUGUUUGAAGGUGACACCCUGGGACAGAGUUACAGACAUUUCUGACAGGACAGGCAGCCCCGUAGAGAAGAAAAAGGUUUAGGUCUGUGAGUGCUCGUCCGGAACCUUAGUUGUGUGCCAAGUUGCUGCAGUACCCAAAGAUCUGUUCUGAGGUGACACAGUAACACACUGCAAUCAGAGGAGAGACCCUAUGAUGCAGUUCUCUAUCCUGUCAUAUACAAAAAUGUCUGCCUAUGCAAUUUCCUCAAGUCAUCUCAAACAUGCUAGCUUCUCUCUUCUUCAGGAGCAUCCAGAUUGGAGGUGGUAGCAUUAACCAAUCAGCAAUUAUUAGGGCAACUGUACUACAGUAACCCUUUGUUGCCCAGAGCAUCGUUGACUUGUUAAAUAUAGAGAACCAUCUUUUAUUGAAAUAGCUGCUUGACAAUAUACUUAUCAUUAAAACUAAGGAUAGGGUGGCUGUUUAAAUGAUAGUGUACAGUACUGACAUCAAUAUACAGCUGGAUAAAUUAUCCCUAUUUGAGAAUAGAGCUAUCACUGAUUGUUGUUGACACAAAAUUAAGCAACAGUAUGGGUCCAAUUCAUAAUAGGAUAACCAUCUGAAUCCCUUACUACAGACCACGAAUAAUCAGCUUCUAAAUUUGAAACCCAGGUUUCUAAUAAUAAUAAAAAAAAAAAAGGUGCAGUCCCGAGACUAUGGCCAUAUAUAACAAACUGAAGUCAGGACUAUUAGAUGAAGUGCUAUGUUUAAGAUUAAAUUGUAUGUGUGCUGUAUGUGUGGGUUGGUUGGGGGUCUUUUAAGUAUUUAUUAGGAUUGUUCACCAAGAAGUGUCAGAGAGUAAGAUUACCUAGAUACUAUGACGUAGAUGUAUUAUCCUGCACGCUCCAUUCGUUAUUUGUGUGGACCCGCUUUACCUCCAGAUCACUGUGAAGUGGGUCCACAUACCGGAACAUAAUGAUGGUGGCACAUAGCGCCCCCCGCAUUUGCCAGUAAUUAAUGCUAUCUUACAUGGGGUAGAAGCGGUAUCAGUCCACGCUAUGUGCGCUGAUAGCGCUUCUCCCCCAUAUCGCCUUGUCUUACAUCUAACCCCUAUAUUACUAUUUAAGAAGGUUCUAAAGCUGCCUACGCAUCAGAACGAUGUGUACCCAGCCGAUAUGCCGGCUAACGAGCCAUUUUGUAUCCAUGGUACACAUCAGAAUGAUGGAAUGAAGUCUGGAAUGAUCACUGUUCCGUCCUUCAUUAAUAUGCAUUAGGUCACAUGCAAUAUCUUCCAGCGGCCUGGUAUCCUGCUGGGUAUUUAGAGAUAUAAUUUAAUUGUGCCAUAGGCUGGAAAGUUUUAUCACCAAGUUUUAUCUAGGAAUUUAUUGUGUAAAAAAAUAAUUACUAAGGUAGUAUUAAAGAGUUCAUUUCAUGUAUUUUAAUAUUUUAAUACCAUGAGAACAAAAGUGAAGUGUUCCUGUCAAAUAAAUUGUACAGAGUUUUAAAAUUGUAUAGUUAUUGAGUCCCUUCCU